GAGACUAAAAUUCAGCAGCACAUAUACUAAAAUUAGAACAAUACAGAGAAGAUUAGCAUGGCCCCUGUGCAAGGAUGACACACAAAUGAUGCUUCUAGAAGUAAGCCUUC